rnacentral:rRNA from 1 species
ACUCCUGCGGGAGGCAGCAGUGGGGAAUAUUGGACAAUGGGCGCAAGCCUGAUCCAGCCAUGCCGCGUGAGUGAUGAAGGCCCUAGGGUUGUAAAGCUCUUUCACCGGUGAAGAUAAUGACGGUAACCGGAGAAGAAGCCCCGGCUAACUUCGUGCCAGCAGCCGCGGUAAUACGAAGGGGGCUAGCGUUGUUCGGAUUUACUGGGCGUAAAGCGCACGUAGCCGGACUAUUAAGUCAGGGGUGAAAUCCCGGGGCUCAACCCCGGAACUGCCUUUGAUACUGGUAGUCUUGAGUGCGAGAGAGGUGAGUGGAAUUCCGAGUGUAGAGGUGAAAUUCGUAGAUAUUCGGAGGAACACCAGUGGCGAAGGCGGCUCACUGGCUCGAUACUGACGCUGAGGUGCGAAAGCGUGGGGAGCAAACAGGAUUAGAAACCCUUGUAGUCCCAUGA